ACGAACGCUGGCGGCAUGCCUAACACAUGCAAGUCGAACGAGACCUUCGGGUCUAGUGGCGCACGGGUGCGUAACGCGUGGGAACCUGCCCUUAGGUUCGGAAUAACUCCCCGAAAGGGGUGCUAAUACCGGAUAAUGUCUUCGGACCAAAGAUUUAUCGCCUUUGGAUGGGCCCGCGUUGGAUUAGCUAGUUGGUAGGGUAAAAGCCUACCAAGGCGACGAUCCAUAGCUGGUCUGAGAGGAUGAUCAGCCACACUGGGACUGAGACACGGCCCAGACUCCUACGGGAAGCAGCAGUGGGGAAUAUUGGACAAUGGGCGAAAGCCUGAUCCAGCAAUGCCGCGUGAGUGAUGAAGGCCUUAGGGUUGUAAAGCCCUUUUACCCGGGAUGAUAAUGACAGUACCGGGAGAAUAAGCUCCGGCUAACUCCGUG
rnacentral:rRNA from 1 species